CCUACGGGAGGCAGCAGUGAGGAAUAUUGGUCAAUGGACGCAAGUCUGAACCAGCCAUGCCGCGUGCAGGAAGACGGCUCUCUGAGUUGUAAACUGCUUUUGUACGGGGGUAAACGCAGAUACGCGUAUCUGUCUGAAAGUAUCGUACGAAUAAGGAUCGGCUAACUCCGUGCCAGCAGCCGCGGUAAUACGGAGGAUUCAAGCGUUAUCCGGAUUUAUUGGGUUUAAAGGGUGCGUAGGCGGUCGGGUAAGUUAGCGGUGAAAUCCCGAGGCUCAACUUCGGAAUUGCCUUUGAUACUGUUCGGCUAGAGAGUAGGUGCGGUAGGCGGAAUGCAUGGUGUAGCGGUGAAAUGCGUAGAUAUUAGACAGAACACCGGUGGCGAAGGCAGCUCACCAAGCUACAUCUGACGUUGAGGCACGAAAGCGUGGGGAGCAAACAGGAUUAGAUACCCGAGUAGUC
rnacentral:rRNA from 1 species